UCGGGCUUGAUUUAAGAGGACU
rnacentral:miRNA from 1 species